rnacentral:rRNA from 1 species
GCAAGUCGAGCGGUAACAGAUCCAGCUUGCUGGAUGCUGACGAGCGGCGGACGGGUGAGUAAUGCAUAGGAAUCUGCCCGAUAGUGGGGGAUAACCUGGGGAAACCCAGGCUAAUACCGCAUACGUCCUACGGGAGAAAGGGGGCUCCGGCUCCCGCUAUGGGAUGAGCCUAUGUCGGAUUAGCUAGUUGGUGAGGUAACGGCUCACCAAGGCCACGAUCCGUAGCUGGUCUGAGAGGAUGAUCAGCCACAUCGGGACUGAGACACGGCCCGAACUCCUACGGGAGGCAGCAGUGGGGAAUAUUGGACAAUGGGGGAAACCCUGAUCCAGCCAUGCCGCGUGUGUGAAGAAGGCCCUCGGGUUGUAAAGCACUUUCAGCGAGGAAGAACGCCUAGCGGUUAAUACCCGCUAGGAAAGACAUCACUCGCAGAAGAAGCACCGGCUAACUCCGUGCCAGCAGCCGCGGUAAUACGGAGGGUGCAAGCGUUAAUCGGAAUUACUGGGCGUAAAGCGCGCGUAGGUGGCUUGAUAAGCCGGUUGUGAAAGCCCCGGGCUCAACCUGGGAACGGCAUCCGGAACUGUCAAGCUAGAGUGCAGGAGAGGAAGGUAGAAUUCCCGGUGUAGCGGUGAAAUGCGUAGAGAUCGGGAGGAAUACCAGUGGCGAAGGCGGCCUUCUGGACUGACACUGACACUGAGGUGCGAAAGCGUGGGUAGCAAACAGGAUUAGAUACCCUGGUAGUCCACGCCGUAAACGAUGUCGACCAGCCGUUGGGUGCCUAGCGCACUUUGUGGCGAAGUUAACGCGAUAAGUCGACCGCCUGGGGAGUACGGCCGCAAGGUUAAAACUCAAAUGAAUUGACGGGGGCCCGCACAAGCGGUGGAGCAUGUGGUUUAAUUCGAUGCAACGC